rnacentral:lncRNA from 1 species
CUCCAAGCCCAAAUUUCUUUCUCCCACACUUUAUUGUACAGUUUAUGGUUUGCCCAUUCAAAGCAGGCAUGUUUUAUGUAAUAUUUAACCAGAGUCAAAGGAAUUUCCCAGCUUCAAAGACAUUUAGUACAGCUGACAGAGACAUGUGAUUGCCUGAAUGGAUUCUAAAGUUCAUAGAAUUGCCAGUUACUGUGAGAAUACCCUUGAUGUGUCAGGACGUGUGUGGUGCAAAAUAGAUGAAGUAAGGAAAGUUUCCUUUUGGAACAUUUCUCCUCAAACACUUCAGACUUCCUGGCCCUCUUGCUGUCUCAGGCUUCUGAGGCUCCAUUGUGAUAACACAACCAAGGCUACCUGGUCCUUAACAUGGGCCUAUCCCUAAAUUAUCCAACACUGACCAGCCAGUGUGUCAUAAUGAUGCUUAACAGGCUGCAGCGGAAUCUGGUGCAACUGCUGUCUGAGAUCCAAAGAAGAAUAGUCUCUGAUGUCAAGGAGUUUCCAUCUAGCUGGGA